rnacentral:rRNA from 1 species
UAGGGAAUCUUCCACAAUGGGCGCAAGCCUGAUGGAGCAACACCGCGUGAGUGAAGAAGGGUUUCGGCUCGUAAAGCUCUGUUGUUAAAGAAGAACACGUAUGAGAGUAACUGUUCAUACGUUGACGGUGUUUAACCAGAAAGUCACGGCUAACUACGUGCCAGCAGCCGCGGUAAUACGUAGGUGGCAAGCGUUAUCCGGAUUUAUUGGGCGUAAAGAGAGUGCAGGCGGUUUUCUAAGUCUGAUGUGAAAGCCUUCGGCUUAACCGGAGAAGUGCAUCGGAAACUGGAUAACUUGAGUGCAGAAGAGGGUAGUGGAACUCCAUGUGUAGCGGUGGAAUGCGUAGAUAUAUGGAAGAACACCAGUGGCGAAGGCGGCUACCUGGUCUGCAACUGACGCUGAGACUCGAAAGCAUGGGUAGCGAACAGGAUUAGAUACCCUGGUAGUCCAUGCCGUAAACGAUGAGUGCUAGGUGUUGGAGGGUUUCCGCCCUUCAGUGCCGGAGCUAACGCAUUAAGCACUCCGCCUGGGGAGUACGACCGCAAGGUUG